rnacentral:lncRNA from 13 species
GUGGGAAAUGCAGAGGCUGCACAUUAAGCUGUUACGAAUAACUGCUGUUGGGAUGGAAUGAAAUGGAAACAAAUCUGCAUUUUAUUUGCACUCUCUCUGCAAUUCCAUGCCAUCCAGACUGCAGUUACGUUCUGUGCACAGCAACACCGCCAAAAAGGGGCCAAUUGUCAUGUUGUGGGCUGCCUGACACAGAGCCCACAUGAUAAGAAACUGAAGGUGGCCUGCCAUCCACAAUGCACCAGGAGCUGAAUCCUGCCAAGAACUCUGAAGAUGAGAUCUUGGAGUUUAAGGAGGACAAGUCACUCACCACUCCGCCAAUCACUGGUGGCACUUGGACUGUUCCCUAGGAAUUCUGGAUUUCAAAGCCUGUUCCUGCUCCUCUACUCCAAGCUACCCUGAGGGCAGAAAACAUGUCUUCAUUUAUCUUUGCCUUUCCAACAGCAUAUGGUCUCUUUUCUGACACACAGUGGGUGUGAACAUUGAUAAAAUAUUUAACAAGGGUUAGCAAAGCAAUAAACUCAAAAGCCAUAUCUAGGUCA